rnacentral:scRNA from 1 species
AUGUUCAAAGCGUUGCGCCAGUGGUUAACGUC